UUAAAUUGAAGAGUUUGAUCAUGGCUCAGAUUGAACGCUGGCGGCAGGCCUAACACAUGCAAGUCGGACGGUAGCACAGAGAGCUUGCUCUUGGGUGACGAGUGGCGG
rnacentral:rRNA from 1 species